CUGGUCUGUCUGUCCAUUUGUUUGUUCACCCACCUGUCUUUUCUGCUUCAGAAUAAAGUUUUUGGUCAAGGUAGUUUUCUAUGAAGUUGAAGUAAAAUCAACUUGCAACUUAGUACAUAUGUUCCAUUGGAAAUGAUCUUUCUAAUUUUAAUGCCGAAUUAGAAGUUUUAUCCCAAUUUCAUGAUCCAUAGAAAAUAAUAGUGCGAGUUGGGCAUCUGUGUACAUCUUGUUUAAGAAUUGAUUAAGUUAAUACACUGUUUGUUGUAAAGAUUUUUUUUUUAAUUAUAUUUUUUUUGUCUUUGUAAAGUCAGUGACGAAUGAAACUUGAAUCAAUUAGCAAUUAUAUUAUGUAUUUGACUGAGACAAUAAAAUGCAGCUUCACUGUUAUAUUUAUAGCAGAUUGUAAUUGUAAUAUAAGAAAAACAUUUUAUCCAAUCUUUUAAUUUUCUAAGGUUGUAAAGUAGUAUAGGGCCUAAUAUAAUUAGUUGCAUGGUGGUGUGCCCAUUUAAAUAAGUAAUGAAGCUGCCACACGCAUUUUACAUGUUUGAAGGUGUGCACAUUCACAAGUGAGUGAAGCUGUCACAUGCAUUUUACAUGUGUGAAGGCGUGCACAUUCACAAGUGAGUGAAGCUGUCACAUGCAUUUUACAUGUGUGAAGGCGUGCACAUUCACAAGUGAGUGAAGCUGCCACAUGCAUUGUACAUGUGUGAAAACGUGCACACUCACAAGUGAGUGAAGCUUUCGCAUACAUUUAACAUGUGUAUGCAUGCACAUUUACAAAAAUAAGUGAAGCUACCACAUGCAAAGUGUACAUAAUUAAGGAAUUAAUUUUCAUAAGAACUGUUUAUUUUACUUAAUGUUACAGUAGAAUCUUUAUACUGGAGAAAAUUGUUUGAUUUUAAAACA
rnacentral:lncRNA from 1 species